UGAUAGGAUAUUUCCCCACCGGUGAAAUGAGC
rnacentral:piRNA from 1 species